rnacentral:rRNA from 1 species
GUAUGAAAGGAACAACGAUUUAUCGCCUGUUUCAGAACAAACCCGCCUAAAUUACUCAAAUGUGUAAAAAAGCAAUUACCACCACAGCAGGACGACAAGACCCUAUCGAACUUCACUACAAGUUAAGCUGGGGCGGCUCAAAACCACAUCUUUCCGCUACUUACCAUAAAAGCCCACAAAAGAAGUAAAACAAGUUACCGUAGGGAUAACAGCAUAAUAACUAACUAAAGCCCAUAUAAAACUAGUUGAUUAUGACCUCGAUGUUGAAUUA